CCGGUACCAGUCGCCACUUAGAUAUUAAGAACAAAAAGAAAGUGCAAUUGGGAAUUUUGUUGUUGUUUUGAUCGGCGUAGAAUGUUGGUUAUUUUUAAGGGACAGUUAUAAUUUUCAAGCUAAAUUUUCUUUCCAAUACUAGUUCAUAUAGCCAACAAAUGAAGGGUGAUAUGUCAGCGGUUUCGGAACCGUUAUUUGCGUGUACGAAAUGCAAUAGUAGACACCCGUUCGAAGAAUUGAGUCAAGGCCAACAACUGUGCAAGGAAUGUCGUGGUAACUACCCUGUUGUCAAGUGUACAUAUUGCAGAGCUGAAUUUCAACAGGAAAACAAAAGCAAUACAAACACAAUUUGUCGGAAAUGCUCUGCAAAUGUGAAGACAUAUGGGACACCAAAGCCUUGUGAGUACUGCAAUGUAAUAGCGGCAUUCAUCGGCUCCAAGUGUCAGCGGUGUUCCAACUCUGAGAAGAAAUAUGGCACACCACAUGUGUGUGAACAAUGCAAACAAAAGUGUGCGUUUGAUCGAAGGGAUGAACGCAAGAAGGUUGAUGGAAAAAUUUUAUGCUGGCUUUGUACUUUAUCGUACAAAAGAGUUCUUCAAAAAGCCAAGAAAAGGAAGUUUGAUCUGAUGUCCAGUCACUCAUCCAGGAGCUCCUCCCAUGACAGCAAAGAGCUUAAUGAAGCAAAAGAACCAAGGUCAAAGGUCUCAGAUAAAGACAGAGAAAGGGCAUCCUCAUCUCAUGAGAGUAAGAAAAACAAGAAUGAGCAUUCCAGCAGUAGCUCAACACCCCCUGUGUCAGCACUUCACAAAAUUGUCUUUAAUGCUUCGUCUGAGACUAUGAAAAACGAACCUGGAAAUUCUGACCACGUAGUUGCUAUGACGCAGCUAAGAGAACAGGUGGCAGCCCUUAAAAAGCAAGUACUAGAGAAAGAUCGAUACGCUAUUGAAAAAGAUAAACAGAUUGCUGAGUUAAAGGCAUCAUCUAUGAAUGCGGAAAAGGAUUUGCGAAUGAGGAUAACCCAACUUCAGAAACACCAUUCUGGAACCAUUGAAGAAUUACAACUAAGAAACAGAACAUUGAAUAAGCAACUUCAAAAUUUCCAAGCCAAGAACAAGCAAUCAGUAAGCUAACCUGCCUCCCUGCCAGUGGAAUUAUAAAGCUAUCAACUAAAGAGAUUCGAAAACAUUGCAGCAAAUAACCAACUUAUCUUUUAAAUGAUGUUGUAGGCUUAUUAGUUAAUAAUAAUUGCAUAUAUAUCCCUCCUAUUGCAUAUUCUCAUCAGAUGAGGAGUAGGUGCAGCAGUGGCGCCAGAAAUUUGCAAACAAGGGGUCCGCCAUGUGCCGACAGAGAGGUCCGACAUGUGCCGACAAGGGGUCCGACAUGUGCCGACAGAGAGGUCCGAACCAAGGGGCUGACUAGAGCUCUGGUAGUGUUCACGGCAAGUUUUAUGGCUUAUUAUGGUCCAAAAUGUGCUUUUAGACCACAAUAUUAGGGAUUGGCAAUCAAAAUAACGUUAUUUGGAGAGGUAAAUUUUCUUUUUUAAAAUUUUCCAUCCGACAACCUAGUCAGGGGGGUCUGACAGGGUUAAAAUCCCCUUCCCCCGCUGGCGCCACCGCAGGGUGGGUGUGGGAGGAUAGGACGGUCUCAUCGGAGAAUGAGAUGGUCUCAGAAUGGAAAAGCCUCACAUCUCCAGUUUUGAAUUGGUUUUAAAUGGAUUUAGUUGGAUGUUGCUAUGCUACCUCAGAUUUCCUGAUUUGUUUUUAUGUUUAUGCAUGUUAACAGUGAUGACCAAAUAAUUAAUUUAAAUACAGGACAUCUUGGCAGAUAUUUGUUUACCCACAAACAUUUACCAGUUUAUAUAAAUUGUUAUGAUCAUGAUAUCAUCAUCAUCUUCAUCAUCAUAAUCAUUAUUAUCAUUGAUCUUAUUAGUUCUGUAUUAUAAAAGUUCAAUCUAAUGUGUAAAUUUUGAUUAUUAUUUUGAUUAUUAUUAUUAUUAUCAUCAUCAAUAAUAUUCAAUUAUUAGCUUGGAUUAUCUGUAGGUUAUUAUUAUUAUUAUUAUUAUUAUUAUUAUUAUUAUUAUGACAUCAUGCAAGGAACAACCAGUUUAUCAGUGUGCAUUUGUUGGAAAGUUAUGAUGCUUAACAUUCUUGUACUGUGAAAGUAAAUUUACAGCACUCAUUUCCAAAGAGACCGCUGCUUACAAAACUGAAAAUUUUAACUAAAUUAUGAACGAUUCGCCUAAAGGUGUUAAUACCAGUAGGCUUUAAAUGAUUUUUAAAUUCAAUGGCUGUAUUUGGAAAAUAUAUUUUAAUGGUUUUUGUAAUAAUAUAAUGAAAGAUUUUUCUGAAAAUUUCAAAAUUGUACAUUUUUUAUUCUGAGACAUUAAACAAAAUUUUAAAAUUUGACAAAAAUAUUUAAAGUGACCAAAGUGGUUGAUGGAACAGACAGUGAAUGACCAGUAAAUUGAUAUAAGUGCUUUUAAAAUUGGUAUUUACAAAAGAUUAGUGGAAUAAAAGUGAUCUUGAACCUUACUUAAAAAAAGGUGUAUUUAAAGACAUUAUCUGAUGGCUUGUUUAUGUUUGGUCAGAUAUGACUAUAUUUGUAGGAGCAAGAAUCUUGUACAACUGAACAGUGCUUUUUAUUUUCUAAGUUUUGUAUAUAUUUUGUUUAAUAUAUUCCCUGUAGAUGUUGGCAUAAAUAUAAUUUGAAAUUGGUCAAGUUUAUGUUGAUAGGUUUUGGGUGUUGUGCAGAUUGUUUAUUAAAGUUUUUUCAAUAUUUUUUAUUUGUAAAUUGUAUAUACUGUAUAAGUAUUAUUUGUUGUAUUAAUAUUAUGCAUUGUAGAUGUGUUAGUAUACUGUACUUACAAAUUGACCAUUUCAUUAAAAAAAAUGUGUAAGGAUAUCAUAGUAAAAAUCCCAGUUAAACUAAAAAAAAAAAUAGAUUUUAUGUUAUUUAUUAGCCAAUAAUAUACACUUUCAUAAAAUUGUCUCCAAAUUUGAUAUCGAUUGAAGCGGACUAGUAAAUGUAUAUUUGAUAACAACAUAUUUUGAACAUACAGGAAAAUUAUAUUAAGUUUGGUUAACACUAGUGUGCAUCAAAAAUACAGAAAAUGACUUCAAAUGAGCCAUGUGACUAUUUCAUCAAUACCUCAUUCUCCCGCUUGUGAAAAAGUAAAGCUGCAUUUUGAACUGCGCACAUGCCAGCUCUAGCAGUUUGAAAACACUAGCAGAGUGGUAACACCUGGUUUCCAUAGGAUCGCUACACAGUCACUACAGCUUUAUCACUGCAAUCCUUGCACUGUGUAGCUGUCCCCGAUGCAAUCGGCAACACUUUCUGAUUUAACUGACCAAUCAGGAGUCGGCAAUAGUGUGUAGCGAUUUUUAUGGAAACCAGACUUUACUGUAUUCUGCUAAUUUAAAAUGUUUCAUAUUGAAAAUCAACUGUGGUUACAGUGGUGUAACAUUGCCAAAGUUUACACUGGUGUAACGUCUACGUAACAUGUCUAAUUUGCUCUAGUGGGAACCAAACUUGCAUAUGAUUUUGAUUCAUACUGUUGUACUUGUAGUGACAGUCUUAGUGACAGUUAGUAAAACUUGCCAACAUAGUUUGAAUGUAUUAAAUAUAUUCAUAAAAACAGACCUUAUGGAAAUAAACUCCUGUUUGAAUAAACAUCAAGAUCUAUGGUGGAAUAGGCAAAUUUAUGUUCAGGAGAAGUUGUUUAUAAAAGGUGGAAAAGAGUGUCAGAAAAUAUGUGAUUUAAGCAAAAAAUAAAUCGUUUUAAAAAAUGUCAAAGAAUAAUAAUAAUAAUAAGGAAAAGUUGAGUAUAGAAACUUAUUGAUAAGCAGGAGUUGGUAUUGGUAUUUCCAUAUUUAAUGAUGGAAAAAGUAAACAAUUGGAAGAAGUUCAUGCUUGGUAGCAUUACAUGGUGGAUCCAGUUAUGGCAAGUGGAGUGGGCAAUCCAUAGAAGUGAAUUCAUGGGGUGGAUUCAGUUUAUUUGGAGGAUUUAAUGAUAGGUGGAUGCAAUUAUGGAAUAAGUUGAUGAUGGGGAGAAAUCAACAAAGGUACCUACACACUUGAUGGAGUGACAGUAAUAAUACUAGGCAGUUGAUAAUCAUGUGGGAGGAACCAAUUUUAUCUUUUAAAAGUUUUAUUAACAUCAUUGCUAACAUAUAAUUACUGAUUAGAAUCUUAUUCUUAGUGAUUUUUAUUUUCCAGCUAUAGUCGAAAUUUAAAUCUUGUACUGUAUAUAACCAAAACUGACAGCCAUUUUAUCUCGCCUGGCCCCCAAUUAAUAAUGUAUAGUACAAGGCCAGUGUAAAGACUCCAUAGAAGCUUCAAUGAUUAAUUGUAUACAUAUUUGUAAGAUGUUUGGAACGCAUGUACUGAAUAAACUAACAAACUGUUGUAUAAUA
rnacentral:misc_RNA from 1 species